CCUACGGGUGGCAGCAGUGAGGAAUAUUGGUCAAUGGGCGAGAGCCUGAACCAGCCAAGCCGCGUGAGGGAUGACGGCACUACGUGUUGUAAACUUCUUUUGUCAGGGAGCAAUUGGGUCCACGCGUGGGCUUAGCGAGAGUACCUGAAGAAAAAGCAUCGGCUAACUUCGUGCCAGCAGCCGCGGUAUUACGGAGGAUGAGAGUGUUAUCCGGAUUUAUUGGGUUUAAAGGGUGCGUGGGCGGAAUCGCAAGUCAGCGGUAAAAAUUCGGGGCUCAACCCCGUCGUGCCGUUGAAACUGAUGUUCUUGAGUGGGCGAGAAGUAUGCGGAAUGCGUGGUGUAGCGGUGAAAUGCAUAGAUAUCACGCAGAACUCCGAUUGCGAAGGCAGCAUACCGGCGCCCAACUGACGCUGAAGCACGAAAGCGUGGGUAUCGAACAGGAUUAGAUACCCGGGUAGUC
rnacentral:rRNA from 1 species